UAACCCUUUCCUCCAUAAUGACGCCUUUUGACGCCUGUGUAGUACCUCAGUUGAAAUGCUUUGACUACAAAAUGUCUGCAUCAGACUUAAAAAAAAAUUGUAUCCAAUAUGAAAAGGAUAUUCAUGAGAAUUAUCUGACUUGAAUUUCAUUGAUGAAAUAUUGGUUUUCACAAUGCAUUAACACUUUAAAACUGAUGAUUUUUUUUAACUGAAAAAAAUCCGAUGCAAAUCAAGUAUAUUAAAAAAAAAUUCAUGGAGGAAAGGGUUA
rnacentral:lncRNA from 1 species